UGUUAAGACAGAGAAGAGAAAAAUGGCAGUAUGAUCCUCUAGAAAUGCAGCAAUUGGAAUGAAAAAGGAGCAUGGGCUGGCGUAGCUCAGGAGAGAGAAUGACUUGUAACGGCAUAGCAAGCUACUUCUCUAGCUCUUCCUGCAAAUGGCUGGGGAAAAAGUGUACUUCCUGGCAGAGAGGCUACAAUCUACUCUUAUUUUUCUGGCUAUUUCCAGCAAGUUCUCUUCUCUCCUUAGAUAGCUUAUCUCUUCAAAGGAGUGUGUCUGAGCUGUGGAAAACGCCUGUUAGUUGCUGAACGAUCAAAUAGAUGUAAGACGAAUAACUGGCUCCUGGCAAAAAUCGGAUUAAAUUGCCUCAAAAGUAACCAAGCUAAAAUGACAACAGGUCACCCUAAAAAAGAAACAAGAUAAUGGCUUUCAAAGGAAUGACAAAACACCUUUGGAGAAAAUUAGAGUUAAUUAGAUAUCUGAAGAUGGAAAACAAGCCAUCACCCUUCCAAAUGUUAGCUGUUGAUGACUGUUUCAUUUAGUGGGAGAUGCCACUUGGUAUAGAGAAAAAUGCACUGGGCUGUGCAUAAGUACGGUCUCAGCUGUACCAUGGACUGUUGGUGAGGUGUUGAGUACAUGUCCCAAGCUCACUGAACCUCAGUUUACUCAUCCAUAAAAUGAGGGCUUUUACCCACACAGUCUCAGAGCACAUUCAGUGAGUGGUAGUGAGGAUGAUGGUGGUGGUGUUGAGGGUGACCACAGUGAUCAUGAUGAUAAUGUAAUGGUGACAUAAUGAGCAUCGCAUUAGUAAGGGUUUUCUAGAGAAGCAGAGCCAACCAAUAGAAUGUUCUAAGACAUGCAGUUGGCAAAUUGGAGACCCAAGAAGAGCCAAUUUUCAGUUUGGAUCUGAAGACAGGAAAAGACUGAUACUCAGGGAAAGGUGAGUCUUUGCGUUCUAUGCAGUAUUUCGACCUAUUGGAUGAGGCCUACCAUAUUUAGGAAUGCAAUCUGCUUUACUCAGUCUUUCAAUUCAGAUAUUAAUUUUAUCUAGAAGCACCC
rnacentral:lncRNA from 1 species